rnacentral:rRNA from 1 species
GCCUUGCCAGCCCGCUCAGAAACUUAAAGGAAGUUAGACGGGGCCCGGCACAAGCGGUGGAGCAUGUGGUUAAUUCGAUGAUACGCGAGGAACCUUACCUGGGCUCAAAUGUAUGUUGACGUAUUUCUGAAAGGGAUACUUCUUCGGACAAUAUACAAGGUGCUGCAUGGUUGUCGUCAGCUCGUGCCGUGAGGUGUCGGGUUAAGUCCCAUAACGAGCGCAACCCUAUCAUCUGUUGCCAGCAUUUAAGGUGGGGACUCAGAUGAGACUGCCGGUGACAAACCGGAGGAAGGUGGGGACGACGUCAAGUCAUCAUGGCCCUUAUGUCCUGGGCUACACACGUGCUACAAUGGCCGGUACAGAGUGAAGCGAAACCGCGAGGUGAAGCAAAACGCAGAAAGCCGGUCUCAGUACGGAUUGGAGUCUGAAACUCGACUUCAUGAAGUUGGAAUCGCUAGUAAUCGCGCAUCAGCAUGGCGCGGUGAAUACGUUCCCGGGCCUU